UACCCCCAAAACCUCCUCAUUUUUUACUCCCUGCAGCCCUUGAGUCCCUCAGCUCCUCUCUUUUCUCCGAUCCUUUUGAUUCUUACCUGUUCCAUGAGGUUCCCUGGUGAUUUGAGGCCCAUACCAGACUGUUACAAUUUUCUAGUUGUUCGACUUCGUCAAUUUAUGAGAGAACCUCAAAGAGACUCAACCAACUUCGUCGAAAUCUGACUCACAUGCAUGUCUUAUGGCCAUCUCUGUUUGUGAGUACUAUUAUGUGUGCUUAUGGCUCGAAUCUCCGGGUCUAAACCAGAUUUUCUUUUGUCUCUGUCACUUUCUCAAAACCUUCAUCUCUUACACUUCAAUCUAUCCAAAUCCUUGCAUAUCUUAAAUGUUUUCGAGUUUAGACGCUAUCUUUCUUUAAAAAUUUUCUGUUCUCUUUAUCAUCGACUAAUUUUUAUGUUCCUCCACGUUAGGGUUUUUGUUUCUUUACUAUUUGCUAUUUAUCAAAAGUAGUUUCGAGUUUCUACAAUAUUUUUCUCUAUGGGCUUUCUGCUUUCCCUACUGUUAAUCGAUCCAGAAGUUCCCUAAAACUAGGGUUCCACUUCUUCUUGUUUCUACAAGAAACUUUUCUAAAAGUUUCUAAGUGUUUGAAGCUGGUUAUCUUUACUUCUAUUUCUAGUCCUUUGUUCGUUUAUUUGCC
rnacentral:lncRNA from 1 species